rnacentral:rRNA from 1 species
AGAGUUUGAUCCUGGCUCAGGAUGAACGCUAGCGGUGUGCCUAAUGCAUGCAAGUCGAACGGGAAGCUUUGAAUUCGUUUCGAGCGGAGAGUGGCGACCGGGUGAGUAACACGUAGGUGACGUACCCCAGAGAGAGGGACAACCAUUGGAAACGAUGGCUAAUACCUCGGAUGUUAUACUGUUUAGAAAGGAUGACUAAACGCUCCGGUGCUCCAGGAGGGACCUGCGGCCCAUCAGCUAGUUGGUGCGGUAACGGCGUACCAAGGCAAAGACGGGUAGGGGGCGUGAGAGCGCGAUCCCCCACACUGGUACUGAGACACGGACCAGAUACCUGCGGGUAGCAGCAGCAAGGAAUAUUGCGCAAUGGGCGAAAGCCUGACGCAGCAACACCGCGUGGAGGAUGAAUGUCUUCGGAUUGUAAACUCCUUUUCUGGGGGAAGAGAAAGGACGGUACCCCAGGAAUAAGUCUCGGCUAACUACGUGCCAGCAGCCGCGGUAAAACGUAGGAGGCAAACGUUAUCCGGAAUUACUGGGCGUAAAGCGCAUGCAGGCGGUUUUUUAAGUCGGACGUGAAAGCUCCUGGCACAACUAGGAGAGGCCGUUCGAAACUGGAAGACUUGAGGAUGGUAGAGGAGAGUGGAAUUCCCGGUGUAGUGGUGAAAUGCGUAGAUAUCGGGAGGAACACCAGAGGCGAAGGCGGCUCGCUGGGUCACACCUGACGCUAAGAUGCGAAAGCCAGGGGAGAGAACGGGAUUAGAAACCCCGGUAUUCCUAGCCGUAAACGAUGUCAACUAGGUGUAGGAGGUCAUUUACCCCUUCUGUACUGCAGCUAACGCGUUAAGUUGACCGCCUGGGGAGUACGGCCGCAAGGCUAAAACUCAAAGGAAUUGACGGGGGCCCGCACAAGCAGCGGAGCGUGUGGUUUAAUUCGAAGAUACGCGAAGAACCUUACCAGGUCUUGACAUGUACGUGGUAGAGAACUGAAAAGGGAUCGACCCUUCGGGGAGCGUAGACAGGUGCUGCAUGGCUGUCGCCCGCUCGUGUCGUGAGAUGUUGGGUUAAGUCCCGUAACGAGCGCAACCCUUGUCCUUAUUUGCCGCACGUAAUGGUGGGAACUCUAAGGAGACUGCCGGUGACAAACCGGAGGAAGGUGGGGACGACGUCAAGUCAUCAUGGCCCUUACGGGGUGGGCUACACACGUGCUACAAUGGUCGGUACAGAGGGUUGCAAUACCGCGAGGUGGAGCUAAUCUCAGAAAGCCGAUCGUAGUCCGGAUUGCAGUCUGCAACUCGACUGCAUGAAGUUGGAAUCGCUAGUAAUCGCGAAUCAGAAUGUCGCGGUGAAUACGUUCCCGGGCCUUGUACACACCGCCCGUCACACCAUGGGAGUGGGUUGCAAAAGAAGUGGGUAGUCUAACCUUCGGGAGGGCGCUCACCACUUUGUGAUUCAUGACUGGGGUGAAGUCGUAACAAGGUA